GGGUCAAUGAUGAGAAUCUUAUAUUGUCUUGAAGAGAGGUAAUGACUUAAAAAUCAUGCUCAGUAGGAUUGUGCUGAGGCCC
rnacentral:snoRNA from 2 species